rnacentral:rRNA from 1 species
CAGUUUGAAUUUUUAAAUAAAAUAUUAUUUUACCCGCUUUCAAAUAAAAUUAAAAUUAAACUGAAAAGGACCAUUAAUAUAUAACUGUUUCCUUUUGUAUCAGGAAAAUACUAACACUUUUUCUACAAAAUUUACCCGAAAAUAAUAGAACUAUUUAUACUAUAUACCUGUGACAUAACUAGCAAAACAAUAAAUAGAAACUAAACAUCAAACGAAAUUUAAAAUAGCUGGUUUUUUAUUUAAAAAAAUUAAAGAACAAGCCUUAAUUUAAACAAAAAAUUGUGCUAAAUUUAUUAGAACUAAUAGUAUUCACUCAGUCCUUUAACCACAUUUCCAAACAACAACGUAUUUCAAACAAAAACAAACUAUAUUUAUCAAUACUGUAUUUAUAAGUAAUUAUAAUGCCAUUUUUACUAAAGAACUAAGCAUAAGAAAAUAGCCUGUUUAACAAAAACAUAACUUAUAGCCCUAACUAUAAGCAUAUCCUGCUCCAUGACCUUUAAAUAGCCGCAGUUUCCUGUGCUAAGGUAGCAUAAUCACUUGUCUUUUAAUUUAAGAAUAGUAUGAACGGAAAAACUGUUUUCUAUUGUUUCUUUAAAAAAAAAUAAAAUUACUUUAAAAGUAAAAAUCCUUUUAAAACAAGAAAGACGACAAGACCCUGUUAAACUUUACUUUAGUUUAGCUGGGGUGGCUUUUAUAAAAAAAUCUUAACAAAAUAAACACUACAUCUAAUAAAGUUACUACAGGGAUAACAGCAUAAUAUAGUUCUAUAGCUCGUAUAUACAACUAUACUUGUGACCUCGAUGUUGAAUUAAAUGUCUAUAAUAAGUAUAAUAAUUAUAAGAAAGUCUGUUCGACUUUUAAAAAUUCACAUGAUUUGAGUUCAGACCGGUGUAAGCCAGGUCGGUUUCUAUCUUCUUCUAGUAAACCCUAGUACGAAAGGACCGUGUUUUAAACUAUCAGAU